rnacentral:rRNA from 1 species
GCCCCAUGAAACUAAUGUGGGGUGAAACCUGCUCAAUGGCUACAAAUAAACAAUAAUUAUAGUUAAAUAGCCGCGGUAACUCUGACCGUGAUAAAGUAGCAUAAUCACUCGUCAUUUAAUUGGUGACUGGAAUGAACGGUUAAACGAAUUCUCAACUGUCUCGAUAAUAAAAUUUAUGAAUUUAAACUAAUAGUGAAUAUGCUAUUUACAAAUUGUAAGACGAAAAGACCCUAUCGAGCUUUACUAACUUCUUAAAUUAUUAAUAUAAAUAAUACUACAAAAAAUAUUAUUUAAGCAAAUUAGUUUGGUUGGGGUGACCACCUCUAAAAAAGUAACAGAGGAAAUCUAAAGGUUAAUACUAAUAUAAAAAGCCUUACUGUAUACAAACAAAUUAAUCAGUUACAAUAAGUAGGAUAUAACGACCCGUUAGAACAAUCUAAAAAUCUAACGAUUAUGAAAAAAGUUACCGUAGGGAUAACAGGGUAAUACUCCUGAAGAGUUCUUAUCGAUAGGAGUGUUUGCCACCUCGAUGUUGAAUUAUGAUAUCCUAAAGGUGCAGCAGCUUUUAAGGGUCG